AUUGAACGCUGGCGGCAUGCCUUACACAUGCAAGUCGAACGGUAACAGGUUAAGCUGACGAGUGGCGAACGGGUGAGUAAUACAUCGGAACGUGCCCAGUAGUGGGGGAUAGCCCGGCGAAAGCCGGAUUAAUACCGCAUACGACCUAAGGGUGAAAGGGGGGGAUCGCAAGACCUCUCGCUAUUGGAGCGGCCGAUGUCAGAUUAGGUAGUUGGUGGGGUAAAGGCCCACCAAGCCGACGAUCUGUAGCUGGUCUGAGAGGACGACCAGCCACACUGGGACUGUGACACGGCCCAGACUCCUACGGGAGGCAGCAGUGGGGAAUUUUGGACAAUGGGCGCAAGCCUGAUCCAGCCAUGCCGCGUGCGGGAAGAAGGCCUUCGGGUUGUAAACCGCUUUUGUCAGGGAAGAAAUCCUUUGGGUUAAUACCUCGGGGGGAUGACGGUACCUGAAGAAUAAGCACCGGCUAACUACGUGCCAGCCGCCGCAGUAA
rnacentral:rRNA from 1 species